GACGAACGCUGGCGGCGUGCCUAAUACAUGCAAGUCGAGCGAGCGGAACCAACAGAUUUACUUCGGUAAUGACGUUGGGAAAGCGAGCGGCGGAUGGGUGAGUAACACGUGGGGAACCUGCCCCUAAGUCUGGGAUACCAUUUGGAAACAGGUGCUAGUACCGGAUAAUAAAGCAGAUCGCAUGAUCAGCUUUUGAAAGGCGGCGUAAGCUGUCGCUAAGGGGAUGGCCCCGCGGUGCAUUAGCUAGUUAGUAAGGUAACGGCUUACCAAGGCAUCGAUGGAUAGGGGAGCUGAGAGGCUUAUCCCCCACAUUGGGACUGAGACACGGCCCAA
rnacentral:rRNA from 1 species